GUCAAAAUGUUCGUCGAAGAUAUGCUCUUAUUUCGAUGCAUUUCAAGAGUUUUUGUGUGAUAAAAAAAAUGGAAUUUUAUAGUGAAAUGCUAUCCAACCACCAGACUCAUGAUCUUGACAUGGAUCCAAGAUGCUGGUAACUAGGCGGAACUGAUUGUUUCACAGAACUGCGGGUUUCUGGAUGGAGACUCAUCGCCGUGUCACAAAAUACUUCAGAACCUAGAUUGAAAGUUACUGAAAGAGCAGUAGACUUUCCAUUCUCUACAAAAUUCAAAUUAACUGUUUUUUAAAGGUGUUACUUGAGACAACCAAAGACUUUUCAAGGACAGAAUUCACAAAACAGUUUAUGCCACCAUCUCAUAUCAAACGAUUGUGCUUAGUGUUGGGAAUCGGUUCCAAUAUUACUAUCGAUAAUCGGUUCCACUCAAGUAACCGAUUAUCUAUAGUACAAUCGUUUUUUUUUAAAAUACUAGAUAAAACCUAAAGCGAAGUUUUAUUCAUGCACAUUAUUAAACUCUUAAUUAUUAUAUGCAUAUACGUUAUGUCUAUGAUUAAAGUUAUUAAGUGUUAUAUAAAAAAUAGUUCAUUUUUACUUGCUCAUUGUGGCUUUCAUCAGCCAUUUUGUUAAAGAUAACAUCUGAACACUCACUUAUAUUUUUUUUCAUUUUUUUUUUUUUCGAUGAUCGAUUAUAACCAAAUACAAUCGAUUGACGCCGAUUUCAGGCCCAACCAAUCGAUUUUCGAUUAUAAUCGAUCAUCGGAACAUCACUAAUUGUGCUUGAGUUGAACAGCCUUCAAACAGAAACUGUUUCAACACCGUCAAUGGAUUCAUUCAGUUUACUAUCGCUGUGAUAUGAGCAACUAUUAACAUCAUUUUAACAGUGUAAAUUGUUUAAACUUGAAAAUUCGGUCUUCAUGCAACUCACAUGAAUCUAUUUACUGUGGACUUUGAUGUUGACUCUAUUCAGGAAGAAGAGACCAUCUUUAUACAUGCUGGCAUAUCAUUUAAAAAGGAUCAAAUUUUAUAACCAACAUACUGCACUGUUAUGUCAUUCAAGGACUCAGCUACUGACUCCAUUUAUGAAUACUACAAAGGAAUGUCUCUGUCAAUGUAAUUACUGUUGAGCAUAAUAAGACAUUUUUUAUUGAAACUUGGCUCAUUUCUUACAUGUAGCUGUAACAUUUUGGGCAACUUCUCAAUUAUUUUGUUUAAGACAUUUUUCAUCCAGCUCACCUAAGCCUAAGUUAGUGUUCAUGUUAACUUUUGUGACUGCCUGUUUAUUGUACUUUUUAUAAAUUAUUUUCAAUGACUUUUUCUCAAGAACCAUUUGGAUAGUAUGUCUCCUCCUGAAAUAGACUAAUUGUUUUAGCUCGAGUUGUCUGUCUGUCCAUCUGUAACAAAUUGUGUCUGCUCCAUGUCUCUUUAACCUUUUGAAGGAUUUGAUAUUACUUCCCACAAAUGUACACCAUAUUGAGAGGAAGGGUUUAUUAUUUAUAACUGUUGAGCAGUUUCUGAACUUGACUAUAUUAUAUCUUGCAUUUACAUCAAGCUGUUAAGUGAACAAUAUAACAUUGACCAAUACAAGGAACUAAACCUUCUUUGUCACCAUUUUGGAAUAAAGUAAUACUUAAAGCUCAUAUUUCCAUAAGAAUCUGCUCAUAUACAGUUUAAAUAGCUUAUACAAGUAUAUCAUUUCAACAUAACAUCAGAUCCACCACUGUUUUAUGUUUGCAACAUGUUUUUUUUAAACUUUGAUAUAUAUAUCAUGACUUUUAUAAACAAAUACCAAACAGCAACUUACAGAUCUAUACUCAUUUGGGCAAAAUUUGUAAAUCUAAGCCUUUUCAUUUGAUAUUUGGCAAAUUGGGGCAUUUUCUGUCACAUUAAAAUCAAUAUUAACAAUAAAUCUCCAACUUUAAUAUGAUCAUA